CCAUUAAGUGUGUCCAGGUUGCCCUAGAAAAAUCAUCAACUAUUGUAAGGAAGUAUCUACAACCAGAAGAAGUAGAAGUGUGGUAAGGCCCCUAAGUAUCCACAUGUAUUAAUUGAAAUGGUCUAGUAGUACUGGUACUGCUAUCAGGAAAAGGGGGUCUGGUUUGUUUAGCCAUAGGACAGACAGAACAAGGAAAAGGUUGUUUAAAAGCAAGUGGAAAAGACAAACCAGAAAUAUGUCUCAUAUUUGCAAAUGAAGUAUGUGCUAGUCGUAAAUGCCAAAUGUAAUUCAUAUCAGUGGCAACAACAUUAUUACAAAUGGAAUUAUUUACAAUUGGAGGCAAGGCAACAAUUUUGCUGUCAGACACAUUGUCAUCAUUACAAAAAUCAGACAAAGCACCAAAUGGAAUUAUUUACAAUUGGAGGCAAGGCAACAAUUUUGCUGUCGGACACAUUGUCAUCAUUACAAAAAUAAGACAAAGCACAUACAGAAGUAAAUGAAGAACCAGGAGAGGGAGAAGGGGAAGGAGGCACCCAAGACAGUUUGUAUAGGCCAGCUUCCUCGCUUCGGGUGACAGGAUUAAUGUGUGUAAGCAUGCAUAAUUUGGAAACAGAAACAAGACUCUCAGUCAGCAUAGUACCAGCAAAAUUAGCAGCAUACAUGGGAGGAGGAGCUUGAUCACUGGAAUCCCCUAACUGGGUCUGUUGCAACAAGCUCAUCAAUUGAUCAUACUGUUGUCUGCUCAACCUUGGUAUCACAGAACUCUGGCCAUCUAUGUUUGUAACAGAUUGAUGGCUUUCAGAAGGAUUCCCUUGGGGAACAGACACAUGUCCUUCAGAAUGAGGGAAAUCCACACCAGCAGUAAGAUGAGCAGCAGCAGUUCUCCUCCCCUUGUUAAAUGUUGUACUUUGUGGAUACCCAUGAAUCAGCAGCAUACAUGGGAGGAGGAGCUUGAUCACUGGAAUCCCCUAACUGGGUCUGUUGCAACAAGCUCAUCAAUUGAUCAUAUUGGUGUCU
rnacentral:lncRNA from 1 species